GAGAGAGAGAGAGGUGGCUGUGUUGAAUGCUCACAGGAGAGGCAUCAAAGGCCUAGCUGGAGAAACCGGAGAGGAGGGCUGUUUUCACCCUGCAGCACAGUCUAUCAUAAAUAUUAAGCGGCGCCCUCCUCCACAACGCCGGCUCCAUCGUUGCCCUUUUAAUGAGGUGAUAUCCAGACACACGGGAGCAGAUGUUGCAAGGAAAACACACUGUGACGUGAUUGUGAUCGAUGCGCGCCUCCCACCGCAUCCACUGCAUAAUUCGGUGGAUGGCAUCAGGAUAACAACCUGCAUUAUGUGGAGACAGCUGUCGCCACAGAGCCCGGGCAGCCACGGUAUUGGCUCCCGCCUUAUUUCAGGCAGAGGCGGGAAGCCAAUUAGAGUGAUUUACAGCUUGCUUGUG
ensembl:lncRNA